CCUACGAGAGGCAGCAGUGAGGAAUAUUGGUCAAUGGGCGCGAGCCUGAACCAGCCAAGUAGCGUGAAGGAUGACUGCCCUACGGGUUGUAAACUUCUUUUAUAAAGGAAUAAAGUGCGGCACGUGAGCCUUUUUGUAUGUACUUUAUGAAUAAGGAUCGGCUAACUCCGUGCCAGCAGCCGAGGUAAUACGGAGGAUCAGAGCGUUAUCCGGAUUUAUUGGGGUUAAAGGGAGCGUAGAUGGUUUGUGAAGGUAGUUGUGAAAGUUUGCGGGUAAACGGUGAAAUUGCAAUUGAUACUGGCGGACUAGAGUACAGUUGAGGUAAGGGGAAUUCGUAGUGUAGAGGUGAAAUGCUAAGAGAUCACGAGGAAC
rnacentral:rRNA from 1 species